rnacentral:tRNA from 1 species
GCCGACGUAGCCCAAUUGGCAGAGGCACCAGGUUUAGGUCCUGGCCAGUGCGCGUUCGAGUCGCGCCGUCGGCACCA